GUUUUUGUAACAUUUUACAACUAUUAACAAUCAUAAUAUGUUGCUUUUAAAUUUGAAUUUCGCGGUUCAAUUUCCUACUUUCGUGUGUAAUGAAGCAAUUCUUAUUUUAGGAUUAUCUAGGAAAUUAAACCCUUUUAGGGAUUUAGAACUUGCGAGUUUAUGCAAUUAUAUUAAAAUAUAAUGUCAAUAAAAAGAAUUUGGAAUACUUUUCUAUGAUUUCUAUUCAGACUAUUGUCGUUAUGCGAAUCUGUGCUCUGUGGUUUCCAAUAUAAAUUGCAGACAACUGCACAUCACGUUAUUGUAGUGAAUGUGACUGCGGAAUAUGCGUGUAAAAAUUGUGCUCGUUUGGUAAGGACAAUUUGGACUUUGAAUAUUAAAUGAAUUAAAUUUGAGUAUUACUGGCACAGUAACAAUAUUUUCAAAUGAUAUUAUAUGGUAUAUAUAAAGCAAUUAUGCAAAGUAUCAUUUAUAGUAACAGGUUAGAUACCAUUAAACAAAUAUCAGUAGUUUUACAGUCAAAAUUUUGCCUUUUUAACAAAAUUUGUAACAAAAUUUAAUAAAUAUACAAAGUUAUUAAAAAGAAAUACAAAAUUUAAUCUGGUCUAACCUAGUAAUACCUACCUAUGGAUCUAAGCAUUUUUCUAUUCAGUUCUUUUAAUUAUGGACUAUUAACUGAUGUAAACGAAUGUAAUUUCUUAUUUCAAAGAAUCCAUUUAUUUAUUGGACGAAAAGAACUAUAAAUAUUUUUCUUUAGUAGGAAGGUAGGCCUUAUUCCUUAAUAAUUAAGUUCAAUUUUCUGUCUUCAUGUGAGUUCGGGGGCAGGGGGUUCAAAAUUACUGUAAAUGUGCUAAUGUAAUACUUAAAUAACCCAUAUGAGAAAUCAAUCAAAAUAGAAAUAUAGAACAAAAGAUGAGCACGAUUUUUACGAAAACAAUUGGUUUCGAAUUUUCCGCCAUUUGGUCUUCAAUCGUUCGAGAAUUUAUUUGGCCAGGUUUUAUUAGUUUUACGAUUAGCCACAAUAGCGCACAUUUAAAUAAAUCAAGUCACAUGUCGAGAUGCCGGCUUUUAGUGAAGACGUGUGACGAGUGAUGCUCGGUGUGUAGACAUUAAGUGAAGCUAUGGACAUGCUGUUAAUGGCGAAAAUUGAAUGGAAGGGUUCUCCUAUUUAUCGAUUUGUUCUCUAGAAAAGGUGGUUCCAAUGUGUUUUUGUUAAAAGUGGUCGAUCGUCCGAAAGAAGUGACAUUUUAAAUUAUCGUUCGCGAAAAGUCAAAAGUGCGACACGCGUCCGGUAUGAUACGUACAACAUUGAAAAUAUUGGAUACAGGAGUUACCCGCUGGAAACAUGCCGUCGUUAGAACAGAGCAUUUGUCCACAACUAAAGGUGAAUCCAGCAACAAAACGACAUAAUUAAUCAAACUGGGUUUAACAGUGAUGUACAGUGAAGCUUCAGUAAUUUCCUUCAGUAAGGUUUUCUCGACAUCAUUGGAGGCAUUACCGGUACAAUUUCUUCUACAUUGUUUAUCCUACCUCCAAAAGGAAGGUCUACUUGUCCAACGUAACAACCUCCU